CAGUAGCCGCGGGAAUACGUAGGUGGCAAGCGUUGUCCGGAAUUAUUGGGCGUAAAGGGCUCGCAGGCGGUUUCUUAAGUCUGAUGUGAAAGCCCCCGGCUCAACCGGGGAGGGUCAUUGGAGACUGGGAAACUUGAGUGCAGAAGAGGAGAGUGGAAUUCCACGUGUAGCGGUGAAAUGCGUAGAGAUGUGGAGGAACACCAGUGGCGAAGGCGACUCUCUGGUCUGUAACUGACGCUGAGGAGCGAAAGCGUGGGGAGCGAACAGGAUUAGAGACCCCUGUAGUCCCUGUCUCUUAUAC
rnacentral:rRNA from 1 species